rnacentral:rRNA from 1 species
GACGUAGGGCGCGAGCGUUGUCCGGAUUUAUUGGGCGUAAAGAGCUCGUAGGCGGCUUGUCGCGUCGUCCGUGAAAACCAGGGGCUCAACCCCUGGCUUGCGGUCGAUACGGGCAGGCUAGAGUUCGGUAGGGAGACUGGAAUUCCUGGUGUAGCGGUGAAAUGCGCAGAUAUCAGGAGGAACACCGGUGGCGAAGGCGGGUCUCUGGGCCGAUACUGACGCUGAGGAGCGAAAGCGUGGGGAGAAAACAGG